rnacentral:rRNA from 1 species
GACGAACGCUGGCGGUGUGCUUAACACAUGCAAGUGGUGCGACGAACCAGAGCUUUCUCUUCGUCGAAGCCGCGAGCGGGUGGGUAACACAUGCGUAAUCUACCCCGCUGACCGGGUCAACCCAAGGCAACUCGGGCUAAUACCGGAUGUGUUACGGAUUGAUAAGUCUCUUCACUAAGGGUAGCUUGGUCUUGCUGUCUCUGAUGGGCGGGUCCCCGAUGCAUUUGUUGGUUGGUGGGGUGCCGGCCUACGAAGGCAAGGAUGGCUAGCCGGACGGAGAGGAGGACCGGCCACACGGGAACUGAGACACGGCCCAGAUUCCUACGGGAGGCAGCAGUGGGGAAUCUUCCGCAAUGGGCGAAAGCGUGACGCAGCAAUCCCGCGUGAGGGAAGAAGGCCUUAGGGUCGUAAACCUCUUUGAGAAGGGAAGAAGGUAAGCGGGUGAAUAGCAGAGAGGAUUGACGGUACCGAAAGAAGAAGCCACGGCUAACUACGUG